AGCAUAUCAAUAAGCGGAGGAAAAGAAACCAACAGGGAUUGCCCCAGUAACGGCGAGUGAAGCGGCAACAGCUCAGAUUUGGAAUCCGGCGCCCCCGCGGCGCCCGAGUUGUAAUCUGCAGAGGACGCCUCUGGCGCGGCGCCUUCCGAGUUCCCUGGAACGGGACGCCGGAGAGGGUGAGAGCCCCGUACGGUCGGACGCCAAGCCUGUGUGAGGUUCCUUCGGCGAGUCGAGUAGUUUGGGAAUGCUGCUCUAAACGGGAGGUAUACGCCUUCUAAAGCUAAAUACCGGCCGGAGACCGAUAGCGCACAAGUAGAGUGAUCGAAAGAUGAAAAGCACUUUGAAAAGAGGGUUAAACAGUACGUGAAAUUGUUGAAAGGGAAGCGCUCGCGGCCAGACUCGGACCCGGGGGAUCAUCCGGCGCUCGCGCCGGUGCACUCCGCCGGGCUCCGGGCCAGCAUCGGCUCGCAGCGGGGGACAAAGGCGCCGGGAACGUGGCUCCCCAGGGAGUGUUAUAGCCCGGCGCGCCAUGCCCCGCGGCGGGUCGAGGUUCGCGCGUCCGCAAGGAUGCUGGCGUAAUGGCCACCAGCGACCCGUCUUGAAACACGGACCAAGGAGUCGUCUUCGUAUGCGAGUGUUCGGGUGGCAAACCCGUGCGCGUAAUGAAAGUGAACGCUGGUGGGAGCCCCCCCGGGGGCGCACCGCCGACCGAUCCUGAUGUGCUCGGAUGGAUUUGAGUAGGAGCAUACGGGGCCGGACCCGAAAGAAGGUGAACUAUGCCUGUGUAGGGUGAAGCCAGAGGAAACUCUGGUGGAGGCUCGCAGCGGUUCUGACGUGCAAAUCGAUCGUCAAACAUGGGCAUGGGGGCGAAAGACUAAUCGAACCUUCUAGUAGCUGGUUCCCGCC
rnacentral:rRNA from 1 species